rnacentral:lncRNA from 1 species
AUGAGGAGACGCACACGGCACAAGUCAGCAACCGCAGUCAAAAUGACAAUAAACAACACAACAACUCGACUCUUCCCUCUUCCCUCUUCCCUCUUCCCUCUUCCCUUCCUCUGUCUUAAAUAUCCUGUCGUUUUCCGUACAAAUUAAAUUAGCUUUUGCUUUUGAAUUAUGAUUUGUGGUCACGACGCCGUUUUGGGGACGUAAUGAUGCCUUUCCAUUUUCUUUCUGUGGAUUCCAUUCCUUUUCUUUCUACUUGCUAAAACAACUUUCUCUCAUUCUUUUCUUUACCUGUACACUUUUUCUUCCUAAUCCUCUAUAUGAAAAGAAAGGAAAGUUAAUAAAAUUAUUUUAAAAAUGGAAUUAUAAAAAAAAAAUUACUAAAAAAAGCACUUUUUUCCUUAAGUACUUAUUAUUAGACUGAAUUGAUCAUAACAUAGAAUAAAAUUUACUAUAUAUUUAUGAACACGUAUAUAAAAUAUUUUUUUUAUUUUGUACAUAAAAUAAUUGAUAACUACAAUAAAUAUUUUAUAUUAUUAAUUUUAUUUAUAUUUAGUUAUCUUAAUGUAAUUAAUAAUAAUAUUCACUUUGAAAUUAAUGAUUUUAUUUCUUAAUUAAUAAGGAUAAUUUUAGAUUUUUAUGAUUUAUUUGAAAUUGUAUUACCUAUAAAAGUGAUUCUCAAAAUUAAAAUUUGAUAAGCUAUUCAUUCUCUACUUUUCAAAAUCUGUUGUUGUAUGAAGUGAUUUUAUUAAAAAUAAUUUUUAAAAAAAUUUACUCGAACACUAAAAUUACCUUUUAAUUUUUUAAAAUUACUUUUAAAUCUCUCAAAAAAAUAUUUUAAGCGGCCCUUACUAAAGUAGUGAGCUACUAUUUCACAAUAGGUCAAAGAAUAUAAAGGGCACUUUUGACAAAAAAAGGAAAUAUAAUAUAAAAUUAGGCAAUUGAUUACACAUUAUAAAUAACACUUUUUAACAAAAUAUUGUGAUUACGCUCUUAUUGUAAUAUGACAUUUAUUUUAAAAUAAUUGUGUGAAGGAUUAAAUAAUGUGAUGAUCGAUGAAUUAACAAUAAUUGUCAUAGAAGUUUGAAACAGAAACUUAUGAACAUGAACUGUUUUUUCUUUUUUAUUUUUUUUUAAAGGAACGUGAGUGUUUAAAAACAAAGAAACGUAUGAAUAGGAUUACCCAUUGAAGGUAAGAUACUUAUAUUUUGACGUAAAGUGGAAAUAAAAUUAUUAGAGACUUGUUGUUUUGCUAAUAAUUGUGGGAAAUGAUUAUCUCCUUUCUUUUUAUUCUUAUCCAUUAGUAGUACAGCCAACUAAAACAAGAUAAACAUUUAAUACUGUGUUUAUAUUGAAAAAAAAGAAUUAAUUUUUAGAAUAUAUUAAUUAGAUGUCAAAUUUAUUAUUUUAAAAAUCCAACCAAAUCCGAAUAUAAAUGUCAUCAACUUUAUUGACUUUUAGAUUUUUGAAGAUAGAUUAAAGUGGUUUUAAACUAUUCAUAAAUCUCUCCCUGCUAUAAACUUUAUUCAAUUUCAUUGAAAUCAUCCUUUAAAUUUAUAAAAUCUUGUUGGAGAUCUUUUAUUUAAUAAUUAAUAAGGAUAAUUUUAGAUUUUUAUGAUUUAUUUGAAAUUGUAUUACCUAUAAAAGUGAUUCUCAAAAUUAAAAUUUGAUAAGCUAUUCAUUCUCUACUUUUCAAAAUCUGUUGUUGUAUGAAGUGAUUUUAUUAAAAAUAAUUUUUAAAAAAAUUUACUCGAACACUAAAAUUACCUUUUAAUUUUUUAAAAUUACUUUUAAAUCUCUCAAAAAAAUAUUUUAAGCGGCCCUUACUAAAGUAGUGAGCUACUAUUUCACAAUAGGUCAAAGAAUAUAAAGGGCACUUUUGACAAAAAAAGGAAAUAUAAUAUAAAAUUAGGCAAUUGAUUACACAUUAUAAAUAACACUUUUUAACAAAAUAUUGUGAUUACGCUCUUAUUGUAAUAUGACAUUUAUUUUAAAAUAAUUGUGUGAAGGAUUAAAUAAUGUGAUGAUCGAUGAAUUAACAAUAAUUGUCAUAGAAGUUUGAAACAGAAACUUAUGAACAUGAACUGUUUUUUCUUUUUUAUUUUUUUUUAAAGGAACGUGAGUGUUUAAAAACAAAGAAACGUAUGAAUAGGAUUACCCAUUGAAGGUAAGAUACUUAUAUUUUGACGUAAAGUGGAAAUAAAAUUAUUAGAGACUUGUUGUUUUGCUAAUAAUUGUGGGAAAUGAUUAUCUCCUUUCUUUUUAUUCUUAUCCAUUAGUAGUACAGCCAACUAAAACAAGAUAAACAUUUAAUACUGUGUUUAUAUUGAAAAAAAAGAAUUAAUUUUUAGAAUAUAUUAAUUAGAUGUCAAAUUUAUUAUUUUAAAAAUCCAACCAAAUCCGAAUAUAAAUGUCAUGAACUUUAUUGACUUUUAGAUUUUUGAAGAUAGAUUAAAGUGGUUUUAAACGAUUCAUAAAUCUCUCCCUGCUAUAAACUUUAUUCAAUUUCAUUGAAAUCAUCCUUUAAAUUUAAUUUAUAAAAUCUUGUUGGAGAUCUAUUAUUUAAAAUAAAAAAAUUAGAACAGCAAAAAUAUACAUUAGACAUGUACUUGAUCACGAGAAAGAAAAAGAUAAUAAUAGUUUCUCAAAUUAAAUUUUUGAAAGAAAAUAGAUAUUUUUGUCAAAUGUGAUGUGUCGAUAAUGCGUUAAAAUCUAAUAUAAAUUUGAUCGAAUUUUGUAUAGUAUACCAAGUUCAUGAUGGUUAAGAUUCAAAUGUAAAAUAAUUUUAUAAGUUAAUAGGAAUUACGGAUUUUUUAGAGUAAAAAAGACAUUUUAAAGGAUGUGGCAGUCUUUGUCAAUGGCAAUUAGCAGCCACUUUUUAUUAUUUGGGAACUUAAAUGAUGAGUACUGAAACUACUUAGAUGUAAUGUAUUUAUGAUUAGGAAUUGGGGAUCUCUGUAUAAUUAUACCCAACGUCGAACGUGUCAUCAAAAUAAAGCGAGUAUCAAAUAAAUUUUACAGCCGCGAAGGCAAGUUUAAUACAUUUACCCACGUUUUCACACUUCCCGUGUAACGCUCUUUCCAUUAAACAACAGGAAUUUUAUCAUUGACCCCCAACUAUUUUGAUUUUAGCAAAUAAAAACUUAAUUUCUCGUAAUUCAAUAAAUAGAUCCCAAAUCCCUUGAGUAAAUGUUACUCACACGCUCUCAAAACAACUUUAACAUUGCGAAAGCACCCAAAAAAAAAAAAAUUUAAACAUGGACUUAAAUAAAGUAUUUGAGCACUUGGUAUAUGAGUUACAUACAAUCCAAAAUAAUAAUUUUUAUUUUUUGAAUGGGAUUGAAGGUGUGCUUGAAAUACUAAUUAGGCAACCCAAGAGGGGGGUGAAUUGAGAUUUUAAAAAUUAAGCUAAGCAAACCACACAACAAACCAAUCUAAUGCCUUAAUAAAUUCGAAAAUAAUAAAUUCAAUGAAAGUACAAUAAUAAAUGAGUAAGGGAAGAGAAAGCAAACUCAAGGAUUUUUACGUGGUUUGGCAAUCCCCGCCUAUGUCCACGCCUCCAAGCACACCGGGCAUGAGGAUUUCACUAUCCGAGCUUUUCCAAGACUUUAAACGUUUACAAUUGACUUCAAGGUGUCAAUGAACCUUUACAAUAAGAGAUUAUCUCUCCAACCUCUUCACCCUAAGUGUUUCUCACACUUAUACACUCACAAUUUGAUGAGAAAUGAAAAAUACAACAAUGAAUCUCUCUUUAAGAGUGGAUAUACAAAUUGAAGAACAAAGAUGAUUUAAUAAAUGAUGAGUUACGAAUUGAAGCUCAAUAUAUGUUGUGUGCACUUGUUUUUGCUUGCCAAGAUUGCCAAAAAUGAAUUGGUUUUGAGUUUAUAUAGUUUGAGCUAAAAAACUAGCCGUUAUGCACAUUUUGGUUAUAACCGGCUUGCCGUUUAGGAAUCCGGUAAGCUGCUUUUAUGUUACCGUUAAGGUAAAAAUUUAAAUUUCAGAAUAUUCGGCAUGCCGCUUGCAAAAUUCGGUAAGCCGUUUAUGCUCCAUAAGCUUACUGCCUAAAAUCCGGUUUGCCGUUAAACCAUAUCCGGUAAGCCGCUUUCAAUUCGGAUAGAUUCUGCCCAACAUCCGGCUUGCCAAUUUUUGCACAUCCGGUAAGCCGCUUGCUACAGUAACCUGUACAGUGCACUAUUUUUCAAAAUUACAGGUUGACCCUAAAACUUUAUAAAACUAUAUUACGGCCCAAAAUGUUAUGAAACUUUACAAAUAGGUCCAAUUUUAGAAUUUCUAAGUAAUGUUUUGUUAAUCCCAAAACUUUCUGAAAUUAUGAGAUAGCCUAAAAUGCUAUGAAACUUUUCAAAUAAGUUCUUCUCUAAAAUUUCAAGCAAUAUUUGUUGAUUUUAAAGUUUUUAAAAUUCUUUCAAUUAAAUCAUAAACUUGAAAAACAACUAAUUUCAUAAAAUCAUUUUUCAUUAAAUAUGAAACAUUUAUAAUGUGAAAAUAAUGAUUUAUUUAAAAAGAAUAAAAAAUAAUUUGAGCUUAAAAGAUUAAUCAUUCUUAAUCUUAUUUGUUAUCAUCAAAAUCAAUAUUAUGGAAACAUAUAUGUUAACAAUCUCCCCCUUUUUUAUGACGACAAACAUUUCAUGUAUUUAAAGAAUGAUUCCACAAAUUGCUCCCCCUAAAUAUAAUCUUCUCUUACAAUUUGCCAAUUAGCUAAACUAAUAGAUUUAAAUACAUGUAUUUUUCUCCCCCUUCAUCAUAAAAAAGAAAACCUAAUUGGCAAAGAAAAAAAUAGUAAAUUUUUUUUUAUAAAUUUAAAAACAUGUAUUCUUCUCCCCCUUCAUCAUAAAAAAGAAAACAUAAAGAAAAAGAAUAAAAGUAGCAAAUUUGUUACCCAUGUUGUUCGAGUAGAAAUUUUGAUAGAAUCUCCCUCUAAUAACAAGCAUCACCUCAAAUACAAGUUUAGUAAUAUUACUUCCAAAUUAUUAUAAAUCAUGAUACAAGCCAACUCCACACACAAAUCAUCACACCAAAAUAUCAUGAACCAUUAUUCCAUUAAUUACCAAAUCAACAACUCAUAACAUAAAAUUAUCAUAUAAAACAACUAUGUAAUCAAAUCAUCAUUAUCUCAAAAUCAUCAAAAUCGUCAUCAUAAUCAAAUAUCAAUCAUUAAAAGAAUACUCAAAGUGCAUAUUAUUCUCCUCAUUUUAACAACAUCGAAAUGAUAUAUUACUUUGUCUCCCCCUUUGGACAAUAAAAAAGUUCAAAAUGCAUAUUAUAAAAAAAUAUAUCAUAUUUGUCUCCCCCUAUCAAUCAUCAAAACCUCAAAUCAAGCACAUUCUUUAUCAUCAAAACUUGAGUAAAGCAUAAGUAGCAAUAUAUAGAUCAUCAAAAUCAACAUAGGCCAUUAUAGAUCAUCAAAAUCAACAUAGCUAUUAAGAAAAACCAUCAUUAUGAGCUAAAGAACAAGUGAUCAAAUCCAUUAUUACAAAUGUUUAUAUAUAUUUCUAAAUGAUGAUCUAGUAGUUACAUCUUGUGAUGGAUCUUUUAAAAUUAAGUCCUUAGGAUGAGAAGAAUCAUAUAAUUCAAAAUCAUAGCAAACAUCCAUAUAAUCCAAAAUGCAAAAUAAAAGAAAAAUAAAAUAGUAAAUGAAAUGUUGGUGUGUCCAAAUACAAGUAUAAAAGACUACUUGUGAGUUUUAUGAUGAAAAUGGAUUUUAAAGAUGAUUUUAGACACAAGAAUGGAUGGGAAUAAUUUAUAUGAAUCAAUUUGGAUUGAAAACAAAUGAGAAUGAUGGAUUUUGGAAUGAAAAAGAAUGAAGGAAGAAACCAUUUUUAGAGAGAGAAUGGGAUCUAGUUUGCCGAAAUGAAGAAGAAGAUGAAUGGUUUUAAAAUGUGCGAAUUCGGCUUACCGUUUAGCAUAAUUGGCUAGCCAGUUUUGAGGCAGAAAAGAAACUUUGCAAAUUCGGCUUUCCGGAUGUCAUAACCGGCUGACCGGUUGUUGUCCAAAAAUGAAACUCUCUCAAACGGCUUACUGGUUUUGCCAAUCCGGUUAUCCGAAAUUCAACCCGAGAGCAACCAAAGCCAAUUCAAUUUACCGGUUGCCAAUAUCCGGCUGACCGGUUGUGCUCCAGUGAGCACCAAAAUGAAUUCGGCUUAUCGGUUUUAAAUGUCCGGUUAUCCGGAUUUCAUCCACAGAGCUCCAAAAUGAAAAACGGCUUUCCAGUUGAUUAGAAGUAUUAAAUGUCCGGUUAUCCGGAUUUCAUCCACAGAGCUCCAAAAUGAAAAACGGCUUUCCAGUUGAUUAGAAGUAGUAUACCGGUUAAGCUUUGGAAAAUAUUUUUGAAAUUUUGUAAGCUCUUAGACUUGUAUUAUACACACCAAUUUAUUUUUGGCUUAGAACUUGAUUGAUUUUAAAUCAUUUUGUAAUUUAAAACUUUUCAAUAAGCCAAUUAAUACAUGAGACAUAAAUGCAUACAAGACCAAACAUAUGAUAUCGUAUCAAACAAUGAUGUCAAUUUUAUAAGUGAAUGAUGAUAUAACAUAAUUAACGGCACAAGAAUUCACACAUAUAAUUCAUUCAUCAUGUAUAUAUUUUUUACAAUCAUGAAAUAUAUAAGCAUUCAAAGAUUAAUAAUUCAAGCAUAUCAUUCAUUUAUCAAGCUUAGGCAUUACAUAAUCAUCAAAAUCAAACAAAUCUAUCAUGAUGAGUUGACAAGCUAUCAUCUUAUAUAUAUAACCAUGCAUCAUGAUAAAGCAAUCAAACAAAUUGACAAGCUAUCAUCUUAUAUAUAUAACCAUGCAUCAUGAUAAAGCACUCAAUGUUAAACACAAUGAUAAUUCAAUCAUGUAAACAUACAAGUAUACUUUCACAAAUUCAAGCUAUUAUCCAUUUAUCAUGAUCCAUUCAACAAAAUUAAUAUGGCAAGAAUUAUUACCAAAACAAUUAAAUCAUCUUGCCUCAUCUUUUCCUCCUAGAUCAUGCUCAAAUGAUUGUCCUCACAAGCUUCAUCAAUAAACUCUCCACCAUUCCUUGUUUGUGGUACCUACAAAAAAAAUAUUCAAGUUGUGUGCUUUGGUACCCAAAUACUCUUGGGUCCUUGAGUGUUAGCAAUGAUUCCUUUUGGAACCCAAAUACAUUUUGCUCCAUAAUACGCAUUUAUUUUAAUUGGAUAUUUAUUCUUCAUGUGACCAUCUUGAUUGCAAUGGUGGCAUACAACUUGAUUGUUAAUGGAGGUACUCUUCUCAAAGUAAUUCUUAUAAUACUUUUGUUUCAAAUUUGGCUUAUAGCCAAUACCUCCUUUGUCAAACACACAUUUUUGUGAAUUAAGCAAGUUAUCCAACAUCUUUUGCCCAUUUGUGAAUUUUAACACAAUUUGAUUUAGCUCAAUCCUCUUCUUCUUAAGCACUUCAUUUUCUUUCAUUAAUUCAUCAACAUGUGAUUUCUCAUGCUCAUAUAAAGUACUUUGUUUGCAUUUAAAUGAUGCAAUUCUUUCAUGCAAUAUUUUAUUAUCUAACUCUAGUCCUUUAAUCUUUUCAUUUAAUGAAUCAUUGCAUUUUUGUAAAGCAUCCUUUUCAUUUUUCAAGUCAUCUACAUAUGAUUCUAGAUGCUCAUGUGAAGUGCUAGGUUUCUCAUUUGAUAAUGCAACUCUAUCAUGCAAUGUUUUAUUCUUUAAUUCUAGACAUGUAAUCUUUGCACUUAGAGAUUCAUUUUCAUUUAUGAGCUUUACCAUUUUCUUUUUAAGACAUGCAUUCUUUUUACCAAUUUUUAUCCAAUUAUCAUGCAAUUCUUUAAAAGCAUCAUUUAAUUCAUCAUAAGUAAAAAGAUCAUUUACCUCAUCAAGUUCAUCAUCCGAUUCAUCUCCAAUUGCGAUGAGAGCUAGAUUUGUCAUUUCUUGAUACUCUUCAUCAUCACUUAUUUCUCACUUGUUUCCUCAUCGCUAUCAUCCCAUGUGGCUACCAUUGCUUUCUUCUUGAGCUUGUUGAGAAGAGGGCAUUCCGUUCUUAUAUGGCCAGGCUUCUUGCACUCAUAACAUUUGAUUACUUCAUUCUUCUCCUUUCGGUUCUUGAGGUCUCUAAAUUUUCUUCGCUCACAAGAUUUUUUAAAAACUUUUCUAAACCUCCUAGCCAGCAUAUCCAUCUCCACCUCAUCCAGCUCGCUUUCCUUAUCACUUUCAUGUUUUGAGUCUUUGAGAGCAAUGUUUUUCUUCUUCUCAUCAUUGCCUCUUUCGGCUGCCAAGUCUUCCUCAUAAGAAAUAAGGGAACCAAUUAAAUCAUCAAUAGGUAAAAUAUUUAAAUCUUUGGCUUCCUCAAUGGCAGUCCUUUUUGGUCUUCAUUCCUUAGGUAGCGACCUAAUGAUUUUCUUAACUUUCUCGCUAUUUGAAAAGGUUUUUCCUAGGGCUUUUAGAGUGUUCACUAUGUCCGUAAAUCUAGUAUACAUAGAAUACACACUCUCAUUUUGUUCCAUUUUGCCAUGUCUUCCUCAUAAGAAAUAAGAGAACCAAUUAAAUCAUCAAUAGGUAAGAUAUUCAAAUCUUUAGCUUCCUCAAUAACAGUCCUUUUUGGUCUCCAUUCCUUAGGUAACGACCUAAUGAUUUUCUUAACUUUCUCGUUAUUUGAAAAGGUCUUUCCUAGGGCUCCUAGAGUGUUCACUAUGUCCGUAAAUCUAGUAUACAUAGAAUACACACUCUCAUUUUGUUCCAUUUAGAACAAUUCAUAUUGCCGAGUGUAUCUACUAAUUUUAGACUCUUUCACUUGAUUCGUGCCUUCAUAAACAACUUCAAGUUUGUGCCAAAUUUCAUUAGCACUUUCACAACUAGACACUCUAUGAAACUCUUUCUUAUCAAGUGCACAAAACAAGGCAUUCAUGGCUUUGGAAUUUAGAGAAGCUUUUCUUUUUUCCAAUUCAUUCCAUUCCUGUAAAGGUUUUGGAAUAUCUUCCCCGACUUCAUUUUUAAUCAAAGGCAUAAAUUGACCAUCACAAACAAUUUCCCAAAUUUCAUAAUCUAAAGCUUGUAAAUAAAUUCUCAUCCUAGUUUUCCUAUAUGGGUAGUCAUUACCGUCAAAGAACGGUGGUCUAAUUGUGGAUUGUUCUUCCCUAAAGGUUGAGUCAUUAUGGGUUGUCAUGGAUCUUAAACUCUAGACGGUUAAGUCUACACAAGAGCACCUCAAUCUGAUACCAAAUGAAAUACUAACUAGGCAACCCAAGAGGGAGGGGGUGAAUUGGGAUUUUAAAAAUUAAGCUAAGCAAACCACACAACAAACCAAUCUAAUGCCUUAAUAAAUUCGAAAACAAUAAAUUCAAUGAAAGCACAAUAAUAAAUGAGCAAGGGAAGAGAAAGCAAACUCAAGAAUUUUUACGUGGUUCGGCAAUUCCCGCCUACGUCCACGCCUCCAAGCACACCGGGCUUGAGGAUUUCAUUAUCCGAGCCUUUCCAAGGCUUCAAACAUUUACAAUUGACUUCAAGGUGUCAAUGAACCUUUACAACAAGAGAUUAUCUCUCCAAUCUCUUCACCCCAAGUGUUUCUCACACUUAUACACUCACAAUUUGAUGAGAAAUGAAAAAUACAACAAUGAAUCUCUCUUUAAGAGUGGAUAUACAAAUUGAAGAACAAAGAUGAUUUAAUAAAUGAUGAGUUACAAAAUUGAAGCACAAUAUAUGUUGUGUGCACUUGUUUUUGCUUGCCAAGAUUGCCAAAAAUGAAUUGGUUUUGAGUUUAUAUAGUUUGAGCUAAAAAACUAGCCGUUAUGCACAUUUUGGUCAUAACCGGCUUGCCGUUUAGGAAUCCGGUAUGCCGAUUUAUGUUAUCGUUAAGGCAAAAAUUUAAAUUUUAGAAUAUCUGGCAUGCCGCUUGCGAAAUUCGGUAAGCCAUUUAUGCUCCAGAAGCUUACUGUCCAAAAUCCGGUUUGCCGUUUAACCAUAUCCGGUAAGCCGCUUUCAAUUCAGAUAGAUUCUGCCCAACAUUCGGCUUGCCAGUUUUUCACAUCUGGUAAGCCGCUUGCUACAGUAACCUGUACAGUGCACUAUUUUUCAAAAUUAUAGGUUGACCCCAAAACUUUAUAAAACUGUAUUACGGCCUAAAACUUUAUAAAACUGUAUUACGGCCUAAAACUUUAUAAAACUGUAUUACGGCCUAAAACAUUAUGCUUUGUUAAUCCCAAAACUUUCUGAAAUUAUGAUAUAGCCUAAAAUGCUAUGAAACAUUUCAAAUAAGUCCUCACGGUUUGCCGUUUAACCAUAUCCGGUAAGCCGCUUUCAAUUCAGAUAGAUUCUGCCCAACAUUCGGCUUGCCAGUUUUUCACAUCUGGUAAGCCGCUUGCUACAGUAACCUGUACAGUGCACUAUUUUUCAAAAUUAUAGGUUGACCCCAAAACUUUAUAAAACUGUAUUACGGCCUAAAACUUUAUAAAACUGUAUUACGGCCUAAAACAUUAUGCUUUGUUAAUCCCAAAACUUUCUGAAAUUAUGAUAUAGCCUAAAAUGCUAUGAAACAUUUCAAAUAAGUCCUCAAAAAUUUCAAGCAAUAUUUGUUGAUUUCAAAGUUUUCAAAAUUAUUUCAAUUAAAUCAUAAACUUGAAAAACAACUAAUUUCAUAAAAUCAUUUUUCAUUAAAUAUGAAACAUUUAUAUUGUGAAAAUAAUGAUUUAUUUAAAAAGAAUAAAAAAUAAUUUGAGCUUAAAAGAUUAAUCAUUCUUAAUCUUGUUUGUUAUCAUCAAAAUCAAUAUUAUGGAAACAUAUAUGUUAACAGUGCUAAGAGUGUCUGACUCACUAGCAUUAUAUUACUUCCACAAACCUAAUUAUAUUUAUUAUUUAUGCAGAGUGUAACUAGUAGUUAAAUUACUCUCUCCACUUAUUCGAACAUAAUCAACUCUAAAUAUCUUAUUUUGACCUAAAAAGAUUUUACUAACUAAACUAGCUAUCCUAACACCCACAUAAAACAACUAUCACUUACAAAUAAAUGUUGCUCACCUUUGAAAGAAUUCCAAAGAAAAAUUUGAUCCUAAAUGAUAUUUAUUAUAUAAUAUGAAACUCAUUAAGUUAGUAAGUAUGUCAGUGAUGAAUUUUUUUAGUUUUCAAAAAUAAUAUUAUAUUAUAUGAUUUAACUUAUUAUUCACACAAUAACAUUAUAUGAUGGAAAAUCUUCUAGUGAUUUAUCUCACUAUUCACAAAUAACAUCAUAUGAUCGGAAUCCAUGUAGUCUAAUUUACUAGAUUUAGAAGGCCGUAUGUUGUUUAAUUUACAUUAAUGAGAUGAAGCAAGCAAGCAACUAUGAAAAUGUUAGGGACUUAUUUAACAUAAACAGGUAAAUCAUCUUUUUAUUCACUAAAACAUUACAAUUCAGGGAGUUCGUAAUAAUUUCGCAUCCCAACUCAGGCAUCCAGUUUGUAGUGUUUGCAAAACUCAAAACGACAAAACAAAACUCAAUUUCGGCAUGACAACCGCAGUCAAAAUGACAAUAAACAACACAACAACUCGACUCUUCCCUCUUCCUUUCCUCCGUCUAAAAUAUCCUGUCGUUUCCCGUACAAAUUAAAUUAGCUUUUGCUUUUGAAUUAUGACUUGUGAUUACGACGCCGUUUUGAGGAUCUGAUGAUGCCUUUCCAUUUUCUUUCUGUGGAUUCCAUUCUUUUU